rnacentral:rRNA from 1 species
UACGGGGGGUGCAAGCGUUAAUCGGAAUUACUGGGCGUAAAGGGUGCGUAGGUGGUUAAUUAAGUUAUCUGUGAAAUACCUGGGCUUAACCUGGGCAGGUCAGAUAAUACUGAAUGACUCGAGUAUAGGAGAGGGUAGUGGAAUUUCCGGUGUAGCGGUGAAAUGCGUAGAGAUCGGAAGGAACACCGGUGGCGAAGGCGGCUACCUGGCCUAAUACUGACACUGAGGCACGAAAGCGUGGGGAGCAAACAGG